AGCGUUUGACAUGGGACGUAUGGUUACCAGAGAUGGUUUCCUUCACUUCGGGUGGCGUCCACACAGGUGCUGCAUGGCUGUCGUCAGCUCGUGUCGUGAGAUGUUGGGUUAAGUCCCGCAACGAGCGCAACCCUCACCUUUAGUUGCCAUCAGGUUGGGCUGGGCACUCUAAAGGAACUGCCGGUGACAAGCCGGAGGAAGGUGGGGAUGACGUCAAGUCCUCAUGGCCCUUAUGUCCUGGGCUACACACGUGCUACAAUGGCGGUGACAGUGGGAAGCUAGAUCGCAAGAUCGUGCUGAUCUCUAAAAGCCGUCUCAGUUCAGAUUGUACUCUGCAACUCGAGUACAUGAAGGUGGAAUCGCUAGUAAUCGCGGAUCAGCAUGCCGCGGUGAAUACGUUCCC
rnacentral:rRNA from 1 species